rnacentral:rRNA from 1 species
AGGGAUCAUUACAAGUGACCCCGGUCUUACCACCGGGAUGUUCAUAACCCUUUGUUGUCCGACUCUGUUGCCUCCGGGGCGACCCUGCCUUCGGGCGGGGGCUCCGGGUGGACACUUCAAACUCUUGCGUAACUUUGCAGUCUGAGUAAACUUAAUUAAUAAAUUAAAACUUUUAACAACGGAUCUCUUGGUUCUGGCAUCGAUGAAGAACGCAGCGAAAUGCGAUAAGUAAUGUGAAUUGCAGAAUUCAGUGAAUCAUCGAAUCUUUGAACGCACAUUGCGCCCCCUGGUAUUCCGGGGGGCAUGCCUGUUCGAGCGUCAUUUCACCACUCAAGCCUCGCUUGGUAUUGGGCAACGCGGUCCGCCGCGUGCCUCAAAUCGACCGGCUGGGUCUUCUGUCCCCUAAGCGUUGUGGAAACUAUUCGCUAAAGGGUGUUCGGGAGGCUACGCCGUAAAACAACCCCAUUUCUAAGGUUGACCUCGGAUCAGGUAGGGAUACCCGCUGAACUUAAGCAUAUCAAUAAGCGGAGGAAAAGAAACCAACAGGGAUUGCUCUAGUAACGGCGAGUGAAGCAGCAAUAGCUCAAAUUUGAAAUCUGGCGUCUUCGACGUCCGAGUUGUAAUUUGUAGAGGAUGCUUCUGAGUAACCACCGACCUAAGUUCCUUGGAACAGGACGUCAUAGAGGGUGAGAAUCCCGUAUGCGGUCGGAAAGGUGCUCUAUACGUAGCUCCUUCGACGAGUCGAGUUGUUUGGGAAUGCAGCUCUAAAUGGGAGGUAAAUUUCUUCUAAAGCUAAAUAUUGGCCAGAGACCGAUAGCGCACAAGUAGAGUGAUCGAAAGAUGAAAAGCACUUUGGAAAGAGAGUUAAAAAGCACGUGAAAUUGUUAAAAGGGAAGGGAUUGCAACCAGACUUGCUCGCGGUGUUCCGCCGGUCUUCUGACCGGUCUACUCGCCGCGUUGCAGGCCAGCAUCGUCUGGUGCCGCUGGAUAAGACUUGAGGAAUGUAGCUCCCUCGGGAGUGUUAUAGCCUCUUGUGAUGCAGCGAGCGCCGGGCGAGGUCCGCGCUUCGGCUAGGAUGCUGGCGUAAUGGUCGUAAUCCGCC